rnacentral:rRNA from 1 species
GAGUUUGAUUAUGGCUCAGAUUGAACGCUGGCGGCAGGCCUAACACAUGCAAGUCGAGCGGAUGAAGAGAGCUUGCUCUCUGAUUCAGCGGCGGACGGGUGAGUAAUGCCUAGGAAUCUGCCUGGUAGUGGGGGACAACGUUUCGAAAGGAACGCUAAUACCGCAUACGUCCUACGGGAGAAAGCAGGGGACCUUCGGGCCUUGCGCUAUCAGAUGAGCCUAGGUCGGAUUAGCUAGUUGGUGAGGUAAUGGCUCACCAAGGCGACGAUCCGUAACUGGGCAGCAGUGGGGAAUAUUGGACAAUGGGCGAAAGCCUGAUCCAGCCAUGCCGCGUGUGUGAAGAAGGUCUUCGGAUUGUAAAGCACUUUAAGUUGGGAGGAAGGGUUGUAGAUUAAUACUCUGCAAUUUUGACGUUACCGACAGAAUAAGCACCGGCUAACUCUGUGCCAGCAGCCGCGGUAAUACAGAGGGUGCAAGCGUUAAUCGGAAUUACUGGGCGUAAAGCGCGCGU